rnacentral:rRNA from 1 species
AACGAACGCUGGCGGCAGGCCUAACACAUGCAAGUCGAGCGGACAUCUUCGGAUGUUAGCGGCGGACGGGUGAGUAACGCGUGGGAACGUGCCCUUUGCUUCGGAAUAGCCUCGGGAAACUGGGAGUAAUACCGGAUGUACCCUUUGGGGGAAAGAUUUAUCGGCAAAGGAUCGGCCCGCGUUGGAUUAGGUAGUUGGUGGGGUAAUGGCCUACCAAGCCGACGAUCCAUAGCUGGUUUGAGAGGAUGAUCAGCCACACUGGGACUGAGACACGGCCCAGACUCCUACGGGAGGCAGCAGUGGGGAAUCUUAGACAAUGGGAGAAACCCUGAUCUAGCCAUGCCGCGUGAGCGAUGAAGGCCUUAGGGUUGUAAAGCUCUUUCACCGGGGAAGAUAAUGACGGUACCCGGAGAAGAAGCCCCGGCUAACUCCGUG